rnacentral:misc_RNA from 1 species
GUAUUUAAAUUAUUUUUAUAAAUUAUUUAUAGACUUUUUUGGUAUAUAUGUUUCUAGGAAAAGGAUAUAUAUCCUCCCCCUUAUUCACAAAGGUUUGUUUAAAGAUUUGUUAAUGAUCCUUCCGCAGGUUCACCUACGGAAA